rnacentral:rRNA from 1 species
UACGUAGGUGGCAAGCGUUGUCCGGAUUUACUGGGCGUAAAGAGCGCGCAGGCGGUCGGAUAAGUCGAAUGUGAAAGCCCCCGGCUCAACUGGGGAGGGUCAUUCGAUACUGUUCGACUCGAAGGCAGGAGAGGGAAGUGGAAUUCCCGGUGUAGUGGUGAAAUGCGUAGAUAUCGCUUGGAACGCCAACGGUGAAAACAGGUUGCUGGGGGUGUGCUGACGCUGAGACACGAAAGCCAGGGGAGCGAACGGG